rnacentral:rRNA from 1 species
ACGAACGCUGGCGGCGUGCUUAACACAUGCAAGUCGAACGAUGAACCACUUCGGUGGGGAUUAGUGGCGAACGGGUGAGUAACACGUGGGCAAUCUGCCCUUCACUCUGGGACAAGCCCUGGAAACGGGGUCUAAUACCGGAUAACACUCCCUCUCUCAUGGGUGGGGGUUAAAAGCUCCGGCGGUGAAGGAUGAGCCCGCGGCCUAUCAGCUUGUUGGUGAGGUAAUGGCUCACCAAGGCGACGACGGGUAGCCGGCCUGAGAGGGCGACCGGCCACACUGGGACUGAGACACGGCCCAGACUCCUACGGGAGGCAGCAGUGGGGAAUAUUGCACAAUGGGCGAAAGCCUGAUGCAGCGACGCCGCGUGAGGGAUGACGGCCUUCGGGUUGUAAACCUCUUUCAGCAGGGAAGAAGCGAAAGUGACGGUACCUGCAGAAGAAGCGCCGGCUAACUACGUGCCAGCAGCCGCGGUAAUACGUAGGGCGCAAGCGUUGUCCGGAAUUAUUGGGCGUAAAGAGCUCGUAGGCGGCUUGUCACGUCGGGUGUGAAAGCCCGGGGCUUAACCCCGGGUCUGCAUUCGAUACGGGCUAGCUAGAGUGUGGUAGGGGAGAUCGGAAUUCCUGGUGUAGCGGUGAAAUGCGCAGAUAUCAGGAGGAACACCGGUGGCGAAGGCGGAUCUCUGGGCCAUUACUGACGCUGAGGAGCGAAAGCGUGGGGAGCGAACAGGAUUAGAUACCCUGGUAGUCCACGCCGUAAACGGNNNNNGNUAGGUGUUGGCGACAUUCCACGUCGUCGGUGCCGCAGCUAACGC